ensembl:lncRNA
UGGGGUGUAUUACAAGGAACACAGCCAGCAUGUGUUCAUCCUGUUUGUCCUGAGGAAGACUGAGAAUGUCUCAUCACUGUUUAUAAAUCUGAAUUGUUUGUGUUAAAGUGGUGGGGCUAGUCUGUACUCAGUAGUUUGCAGUGACAGGACCGGGAGCAACAGGCAAAAACUGAAACACAUGAACUUCCAUACAAAUAGGAGGAAGAACUUCUUUGCUCUUAGGGUGAUGGAGCACUGGAACAAGCUGCCCAGAGAGGCUGUCGAUUCUCCUUCUCUAGGGAGAAGUAAGACCCCUCUGAACGCUUUCCUGUGUGAGAGGUGAGCACAGUCUGGAUUGCAACCUACAUAGCCAUAGAUGUUCUUGGCUGCUCAUCUGAGCCAUUUGUGUUGCACUCCUUCGUCUCUGUGCAGCUUAUCCACCAUUGUACUAGUGCAGAACAGUGAGGUGGUUAUGGAAAUGGGGUGCAUAAGAGCUAGGCCUCCAGCUGUACAGACUGCUGCACUGAGCCACCUGUCUGAUCAGACCAGGUUAAUGAUAUCUGUGUAGCACUGGAAGUGUGCCUCGAGUCUUUGGGACUCAUAAAGCAAACGUCUCUGCUCUGAGCAUUCUACAGCCCAAAUAGACUUGACAUGCUAAGGGAUGAUAAUAACAAGGAAUGGAAGGAAGCAGUAGGGGUUGACAGCAGGAAAAGGCUUGUGAUUAGCUGAAUUUCAUGGGCGCAUUGCUGGAACCUCCUGAGGUUUUUGUUGUAAAUAGGGCAGAGUGUUUGGACUUGUCAGCAAUUAUUUAGAAGCAGAUCAGUGGCAGACAGGUGAGCUAAAAUGUUCAAACUCCAGAAAAGAGUUAAAAGAGAGUGUAUUGAUGCGGGGCUCUGAGGCAAAAUGGGUGUUGUGAGCAUGGGGACUGUUGUUAGGAAAAGAAACCAAGGAAGGGAAUAGCAGGGUCGGUCACGGCAGAGCAGCAAAAAGAGGAAGAGGGCUCAUGAUAAAGUACACAGAAGACCUCCCUAUAAAUUGUUGGCCAUAAUUUGGACUGGAAUUAUUUUGUUUGAUCAGUAAUGAUCUGGAAUUACUUAUCUGAUUAAUUCAUCCUGGGUAUAUAUUUUAGUCAUAAUUGAACAUUUAGAAACCUUGAGGUAGGAUUUUGACAAAAUGCAACACAAACCUCUAUUAUUUUGACCCAAGAAGACAAAUGUAUAUUCAGAAAGAAGAAAAGACCAGGAUGAGAGUUAGCCCAUUGGCACUUGUUUAUUGGCACUUUCAAGGAGAAGCUGAACUUACUUCAUUUGAUCCUGGAAAAGAGACACUGGGGUGGUUCCAGUAAUGCACAGUAAUCAACUUCGCUCUGAAAUCUUAUGCUUGAAACUAUUAUCUCAUGCUGUAAGAUGAUUUCUAACAUCCUCUUCUUAUAAAUAUUGAUAUGGCAGAACAGAACAGUCUUCAUCUGAAUCAAAUGGAAAGACCCUCUGAGCAUUUGGUAAAACUGCAUUGGCUACAUAUGUGUCUAUUCAUUUUUUAUGUGAUCAUGAUUAAUUUGUGAACUUCAGUUGGAUUGUGUUGCACAGUGAUUCAAUCUGAGCCAUGGAGAUGUCUAGCAAUGCAAAUCCCUCUGGAGACAACGUGUUGUAUGAAGAGGCUGGCAGACUUUGGGUGGGCAACGUAAGGAUAUUUUGACUUUAAAAUAACUUAUCAAACUAAUGUCUCAGAGUGAAAUCUACAGAGAUGCAGCUAUUAAAUGCUGCCACUCCAGCUAUCUAAUACUGGAAAUACUUGGGGAAGAGAUGCAGCAAAAAAAGAAAAACAGAAAUUAUUUACAUCUUGAUCUUAUUGCUUACCCAGGCAGCUGGGCUACUGAGGCAGCUUUCUCGCCUCCUAGGGAAACAGAGCCAAGUGCUCUUCCUCUCUCUUUUGUGAUGCCUUCAGACUGAUGCUUGAAAUGGUAUUGACAGUUCUCCAGAGGAGCUGCAGCAUGUGUCUUUUAAUGGAGGAUGAGCGUAGCAGGGGGUGCACGAAGCUGAACAAGCGAGUAGAUCUCCACGCAUCUACGUGUUUGUCAUUUAGACUGACUAAUUUGUAGUUCAACAGUAUGUCAGAAUAAAUGAUCGGUGAUAGAUUU